AUGGAGAAGUACUCGUCGAGCGGGGCGAAGGAGGUGCUAAUAAAGGUCAUGCCGCAAGCUUUGCCAACUUAUGCCACAAGUAUUUUCAAAUUUCGCGCUGACCUCACAAAGGAAUGGACAAAGAUUGUGCCUGACUUCUGGUGGGGUGAUGAGCAUGAAAGGCGAAAGAUGCAUUGGCUUGCUUGGGACAAGGUGGUGUGGCAAAAGGCUUAUGGUGGAAUGGGCUUCCGUGAACUCCAUGUUUUUAAUCAAGCAUUGCUGGCAUGUCAAGCAUGGUCUCUAAUACAAUACCCAAAAAGUUUGUUUGCUCACAUUCUAAAGGCCAAGUACUACCCGAAUGAACUAGAGGAUGGACACCAUGCCAUUGCAUGUUGCAAUACAGCGAGAGCAUUGAGGGAUGGCAUGCGCAGGAAUUUUAUACCGCCUAAGUCUUUGCAUGUUUGUAUGAUCAGAUUUGAAGAGAAGACAAGCUUGACACGUGGAGCUAAAGAACUGCCGCAAGAAGAAUGCCUACAGAUGUCCAAUAUCACCAAGUGCAUGAGGGAGGAGAGGGAGGCAGGUGCACAACAUAAAGAGAAGGAAAAUCAGCACCAGAUUCAAAUUGAUUGCCAGGAGGCCCGAAAUUGA
rnacentral:rRNA from 1 species